rnacentral:lncRNA from 1 species
CAAAGAAUUGUGGGAUGAAAAAUGAUUUUUUUAUUUAUUGAUACGAGAAUUUAAUGUUAAUAUAUAUCCAUACAUAUUAAUUAUAUCUAUUUAUUUGUGAUUCUUAUUUUCAUGACUACCUUAAAAUUUAAUAUUUUUUAUGUAAUGGCUACCUUAAAAUUUAAUAUUUUGUAAAGUAAAUUUGGCGUUAAUAUUCAUAUAUGCUUUAAAAUUGUGGCUAUUUUUUGAACUCCGCUAUUUGAGCUUAACGUCCGCUGUAACACCCACUAUCCACGAUCUACUGCACUGUUCUAAUCCACUACCAUACUAUUUAGCAGAGCACCGAGCCCGUAGGCAGGACGACUGCAACCACCGCACGGAGGGAGGAGGAUUCAAGCUGGAUGGAGUACCACCCACCUGCCAACGAAACUCAACACCAGGGCCCCGGGUUUAUUAUUUACAGCGUCGUCCCUGCAGAUCUGCAGGCAAUGCAUUCAGCUCUCUUGCCGAUUCGGAAAAAAAAAGGACAUCUCCUUUUUGCUCAUUUGAAAGAGAGGUUCCCCAUCAACCUCUAUGAAUUGAUGUAUGGUCCUUGCACACGAGUUUGAGAACAGUGAUUAGUAUCAAGCAGGAUCGUGUGAACUCUUCACCAUCUCACCUUCGAAAAUCUGCAGUUGGUCGUCCAUAUACUCACUCUACUAGUAAAUAAAUGACAUUUUUUAGGUUGCCUUAAGCCAGCCAUUUUGAAUUUGUCGCAUACUACAUUAUGUGCAUUGAAUUUAUUGGAUAUUUCAGAUUAAUGAUACGAGUAAAUUUGUUGUCCUGAGAUGUAAUUUUGUAAAAUAUGUUUUUUAUUCUUUACUAGGAAUAUGCAUGUGCGUUGCUAUUAGCUACACUUGGUAUAUUGUUGGCGCGGCCACCACCACCUUGUCGAUGGCUUUUACCACACCAUCUUGCAGACACCCUAGCGCGGAGGUCGUCAGCGAGGGGGCGGCAAAGGAGGUAAUCUUAUUGGAUGUGACAAGGAGACUACGAGCAACACGGAGCUUGGCGCCACCACCUUGUCGGUGUCUUUGACCACGUCAUCUUGUAGGCAUCCUAACGAAGCGGAGGUCGUCAGUGAGGAAGGUGACAAAAAGGUAAUCGUAGUGGAUCCGACAAGAAGGCUGCUAGCAACGUAGAGCUCGGGCGUGUUGUGGCGGAGCUGAUAUGGGUGACACGGAGAUGCGGCGCGUGAUUGACUAACUCACUUGCGCAACAACACGGAGUGACGCAUGCGGCGGCGUAUCUUACCCACACGAUCACAAGAUGCGGCGCACGCCGGUGUAGCUUACCUGCAUGGUGACGAGCUACAGAGCAUCUAGUCAUACAAUUGAGUUAGCUCACCAUCUCACCUUCGAAAAUGUACAAUUGAUCAUCCAUAAUCUCACUCUAGUCGUAUAUAAAUAACAUUUUUAGUUUGCCUUAAGCCAACCAUUUUGAAUUUGUGGCAUGCUACUUUAUGUGCAUUGGGUUCAUUGGAUAUUUAGGAUUCAUGAUAUCAUUAAAUUUGUCAUAAAUAUAAUUUUGUAAAAAUAGGAUUUUUUUAUACUUUACAAAAACUUCACAAUAGAAGUUAUUAGUCAAAUUUUGUGUUGUAGACCGUGCCCAUAUCGAAAACAUCAUUUAUUUGUGAUAGGAUGGGCAAGAGUAUUUAUCAAGUCCUAAGAUCAAUAAUUACAUCUAGACAGCAAAUCUGCCCUGUUUAUUUGAGCUUCUAGUAGCUUCUCGGCUUGAAAAGUCAGAAUCUCAAAUAAACAGCGCAUUUCUCGUGCAGCUUUCGAAAAGCUAGAAGCUCAAAAAAGCUGAGUUUAUAUGAAAUGCUAGAAAGCUCGAUUUUAUAAGCCUUUUGUAGCUUUUUGAGCUCAAAAAGCUCAACACAUAUUCUAAAAGCUAUUGUUGGCUUUUUUGAAAAAAAAAGGCAAUAGCAGUUUUUCAUAAAAAUUCAAAAGCUGCAGCUUAUAUUAUUUUUCACGAACGUGCCCGUACACGCAUGCUAAUUAGUAUAUGCUAGCUGUAUUAAGCCUUGUUUCCAUCCUUCUGAAAAAACAAUAGGUGCCCAUUUUAAAAUCGGUUGUCGUAUUUAAGGAAUCUAAGAUCCAAAAAAAUCUAUGGGCACAAACCUUUUAUCCGGAAAAAUUUCAGUGACACUACACGCAUGUACAUUACAGUGCCACUCGGACCCUCUAGUCCAAUAAAACAGUCGGAUCAUGUUUUAAGCGAAAAAUUGUGUGCACAAAAAUAAUAAAAAAACACCACGCGGAGACACUUUUUUUUAAUUGACCACAGUGCGCGUUGUCCAUAUACUCACUCUACUAGUAAAUAAAUGACAUUUUUUAGGUUGCCUUAAGCCAGCCAUUUUGAAUUUGUCGCAUA